UGUGAACUGCAGGACACAUGAACACCGAUACGUUGAACGCAUAUUGCGCAUCGCACGACACAGUGCGAUGUACACAUUUUUGAGUGCCCAUCCUCACCGCAUAGCCAACUAUCGUUCGGAGGUCCGCCUCCGGCGAUGCAUAAUGAUGCGUUGAUCAGCCGGCGCCGCCCGGUCGGUCAACCAUUGAAACACUGUGUGCGUAGGAGGGGCCGCGACCGGGGAGCGUUGCGCGCGCAAGUGCCAAAGUAUUCCAUCACGGCAGAGCCACCUUACGUCUCUCACCAGAGAACCCCUUUGAACGAACAGCUCACGCGUUCGGUGGCUCGAGAGUGGCCGUGAAUAUGGAAGUUGGCGCCGUGCGUAUGCGCAGGCUCGCGGAUCGCGGUCUUAGCACAGUUAUAAUAGUGGGCCUCAAAUAAUGUGUGACUACCCCCUAAAUUUAAGCAU
rnacentral:rRNA from 1 species